GUAAAUUGCUUAGUGCACCACAUGUGUUUUUCUUUGAAACAAACUUGCUUUGGCGGUGGGCCCAGCCUGCCGCCAGAGGUCUAAACUUACAACCAAUUUUUUAUUAACUUGUCACACCAGAUUAUUACUAAAUAGUCAAAACUUUCAACAACGGAUCUCUUGGUUCUCGCAUCGAUGAAGAACGCAGCGAAAUGCGAUACGUAAUAUGAAUUGCAGAUAUUCGUGAAUCAUCGAAUCUUUGAACGCACAUUGCGCCCUCUGGUAUUCCGGAGGGCAUGCCUGUUUGAGCGUCGUUUCUCCCUCAAACCGCUGGGUUUGGUGUUGAGCAAUACGACUUGGGUUUGCUUGAAAGACGGUAGUGGUAAGGCGGGAUCGCUUUGACAAUGGCUUAGGUCUAACCAAAAACAUUGCUUGCGGCGGUAACGUCUACCACGUAUAUCUUCAAACUUUGACCUCAAAUCAGGUAGGACUACCCGCUGAACUUAAGCAUAUCAAAAGCCGGGAGA
rnacentral:rRNA from 1 species